UUCUACUCUAUUUAUCCAAAGGUUAAUCCAGUAUUUAGUGAGUGCCUACUAUGUGCUAAGCCCUCAGGUGACUAAAAUUUCCUUGUGGAACUCUGGUGUCUUGGAGAAGCAGACCCGGGUAUGCAUAGCUUACAGGUGAGGUGUGGACUCUUGAGGCAAAGAACAAAAUGCCUACAGUGAGUGGAGAGCCAGCAGAGCCCAGCAGGAUCUACUCUGACUGAAAGGAAAUUCAAGUACCUCUCCUCUUCUGCCAAUGUGUAGAAGAAUACAGACCAGGAGAGAGGACACCGCUGUCAGAGUGGCACAAAACACCGAUGGUGCCAGAAAAUGCACUCCCCAUGGAAAAUGCGACUUGUCUGCACAUUAAAGUUUGGGAAGCACUGCUCUGGAAGACACCUUGUAAGCAGCCAAGGGAACAGGCCUUCCAGGCUGAGGAAACAACGCUGGCAAAGGGCUGGAGGGCCAAGAACAGAUGGGGCCAACGGGAUCUCCCGGCAUUCUUUCUGAGCUUGGAAGAUCCAGACUGCAUGCGAUAUGAUGAGAUGGCAUUUUCACUCCCUGGGUCUUAUGAAGUCUUUGUUUUGAGUAACAAAUACCUUUAACACAUUGAAGUCACUAUCAAUCUGUGUUAUGGUGAUCUACUGAAAUAAUCUGGGUAUGCUAACAUUAUUGUCAGGUUAUUAAGCAAAAUUCCUGGUAGAUUAAUGUUUAAUUUAAUGAGGCUAACAUUUGAGUUAAGAACUUGGGAGAUUAACGACACUGAGAAAUGUCAAGAGUGAAAAACACUGUCACACAUGGGUUGCUGCCAAACAACAAAGUGAGUCUCUGUGAAAGAGCGAGACUUUGUGAAGGGGAAUUAGAUGGCUGGAGACGGGGAGGUCUCUGGUAACUGCUGAAAACUGUGACUAUCAUCAGACAGUAGAAGCACCACAGGUGAUGGGACAGGAGAACUUUCCAUGAACCCAGGCAGGAUGGCUGUCAGAUGCAGCACAUAGUCUUUUUUUUUUUUAAACUGCACUGGCCCUGGCCCCGGCCCAGAUGGCACCCUACUUCCACCAAGUCAGGCAUACGCUCGAGUACUUUGCUAGGUUCUCUAUUUCACAGGCAACAAGUGUGUUAGGUCAGGCGUAACGAUCACUAAUCCACAAAUGUGGAAACUGAGCUGAGUGAGGUCACACGGCUCCUGCUAGUCACACAGCUAGCAGAUGGACCACUUGGGGCUCAAAGAGUCCGGUAGAUGCUGGGACUCACACUUGCAACGGUGAGGUCCCCACCUGCCAGGAACUCACUGAGUACUUUUUUUCAGGUACCUGGUUGAGCUGUGCUUGAACUGUAAGUUUAACAUCCAAUCCCGUUUCUUCCUCUUUCCACGUUUCCUGUGAUCACCUCAUAUGCAAUUCUUAAUUAGCAGCCUGGGGACUUUAUAACAAUCAUUCUUUCUACUCAUAAUCUCAUUCUUUGAAACAAUUGGCUUGUUCUUUCCACUCAUAUUACUCAGGCAGUUCAUUUUCUCCAGCUUUGUCUUCUUUACUGGACUACAAUCCCCUCUCCUUCAAAAGUACUACUAAAGCUUCUCGAUUACCUUUUCAGUACAGGUUCUAUUUCCUUCCAAAUUUAAAUGUGUAGCUGUAGCUGGCUUUACAAAUGUAAGGUACAGUUCCUUUGAUAUUCAUGUCUAGUUUCACAGGUGUUAUUUAAUGUUAAUAAUGCUGUAUACUGUUUUGUGCUUCUUGGUUUACAGAGCAUAGACAUUAUCUCAAUUAAUUAUUCUUUUUGAUUUACACAUAAUAUCCCUCAUUGUAUCGCCAGUUCUACUGUGUUCUUCAUGCGCUGACUUUGUCCGGGACCUACUAGCAUUGGGGGCUUUAUAAAUGGAUGUCUAAGAGGCAGCUCACACUUACAUGCAAUCACAUUCACCCUUACAGGAGAGAAUUUCAGAUACAUGUGAAGCCUGGGGCAGCCAGGAGUGCUUCUGGGCAAACUGACCUGGACUUCCGUCAAAGGUAGAUCCACCCCAGGAAGCAGGUGGCACAUAACAAAAGUAUCCAGAACAGGGUGUGUGUGGGGAUAAUAUGUGCUACGGGGUCAGCGAGCCCCCAUAAAAAUGGCUUCGUGACAUCUCAGUGUGGAAAGUAUCAUCGAUGUCCCAGGGAGAAUUCUGGGGCCUGGAAGAUCCACACCUCCUAACCAUAGCAUUCUAUGCUACCUAUACUGCUUUAUGUAACAUCACCUUUAGUUUUUAUAUCCUUUGCCAUUAAAGACAUUUCACAUCAUCUUUAUCUUUAUACUUCUUUGGUGGGGGGCAGUGGGCAUUACAGGAUUUUUUUUAGUUGAAGUACUGUUGUUUUAACGGAGGUACUGGGGAUUGAACCGAGGGCCUGGUGCACGCUAAGUUCGUGUUCUACCACUGAGCUAUGCCCACCCCUUUUAUACUUCAAUCACCUACAUCAUUGUCCACUGUAAACCCACAAAAGCCUAAACCUGCUCUUCUCCUAAUCUUCCCUGUCUUGGUAAUCAGCCCCAAACCUAGAAAUCAUACUUGAUUUCUUUUGCCCUCAAGCCCUAUAUUCAUUCUAUCAAAUCUCCUAAGUCCACCUUAAAAACUGAAUCUGACUCCAUCCACCUCUCCUUAUCUCUAUUGCUGUCACUCAGGUUCAAAAUCCUUUCUCACCUGAAUCUUGUGCCGUGCUCUCAGAUGAUCCUAACUGGUCUCAGUGCUUUUAUUCUUGCUCUUCUGUAGUCAAUUCUCUUCACAGUUGCCAAUAUCAUCUUUUAAAACCAUACACAGUUCAGAUGACUUCCUCCUGGUAUAAGAGCUCCAAUCAUUUCUCAUCACACACAAAACAAUGUGGGUGGCCUUGGAUGGUCUGGGCUCCACCUUCAACUACAUGUGUCUCUGACUUGCUCACACCACUCUGGCCACAGUGUUCUGUUUUCUCUAAUAUACCAGUUUAUUCCUACCUUAGGGCCUUGCUUUUGCCUUUCUCCCCAAGUACUUAUUUUGCAUGGCUGGCUUCCUCACAUCAUUUAAGUAUCUAUUCCAAUCUUGAGUCUUUAGAGAGGUGGCCCCUCUGAACAUCCUAUCUAAAAUAGCAACCCCACAUUCACAUGCACACACACUCGCGCAACACACGCAUACCGACUUACGGCCUGUUGCGAGCUUACUUUAUGGCAUGUUGCACUACCUGGUAUUAUCAUUAAUUUAAAUUCUUUGUUGAUUGGCAUCCUCUCCACUAGAGCAUAAGUUCUAUGAGGGCAGGGAUUUGGUCCACCUUCACGGUCCCUCCACUCCCAGUGCUUAGCAUGGUGCCCAGCACAUGGUAUGUGCUUCAGUAAAUGUUGGUUGAAUAAACUGAUUAUUCAUAGCCAUCUUUUCAGGCAGAAUGGAAAAUCAAGGCCUGACAGGGAGGGUUCCCUUAAGAACCAGCAUGAUAGACGAUGGUAGAGGAUGUGAUCUGGAGUCAGACAGACUUGGACUUGGACUGGCUAGAACAGUAAUUCUGGCCUUAAAUAGCUAACUGAUCUUAGGCUAGUUAAUUACCUCCCUAAACCUGUGUUAUUGUUGCUUCUUUUUUGACUUGUAAAUAGUGAAGAUUAGAAAACUUUUUGUAGUUUUUGUAAAGAUCAAAGAUAACUUCUGUGGAAAUCCUAACAUCGUGCCUACCACUGCAAUUGGUAGGACUGUCACCAGACAGGGUACACCGUGGGUCAGGACACUGACCUCAUUCUGAGUUCAAGUGACAAAUAUCAAUUCAAUAAAACACACUGUUUGGAUUUAAACAAAUAUUCAUGCUCACAUUAGAAAUAAAGUCCAAUGGUAUUUGAAAUAGUGCCUGUUUAACAUUGACUGUACCAAGGCUUUUGUAAAGCUUGUAUUUUAAAAAAAUUAUACUGAUUUUGAGCAGAGUAAACUAGCUUCCCACUGGAUUGAAAACAUUCCAUUUGUAACUGUAAACACAGUUUCUCAACUGGUUAUUCUCCAUGGUUUAAGGCAUAUUUUAAAAUUAUAAUUAUUCUAUCCUAAGCUAUUGGAAAGGAUGAUAAAGUAAUCAAAGAAAUUCCUAAUCCUCCCAGAUACGAUUUAAUCUUUUUUUUUCCCUGACUGAAGAAGCCAAGCUUAUUACCCUACAAAUAGCUUUCAUUUUAUAUGACUCUAACUGAAUAUAUAAAAUCUAUUAGGUACAUUUCCAUUUAUAUGAAGAUUUUACUGUGUUCAGAUAAAAUGUGCACUUGCAAUCUUACUAGAGUUUCUUCCUAAUUAAAGAACAUACGGCUGGCAGAUUUAAAGAAUUAAAAAGUGUUUUAAAUUGCUUUACAAAAUACAAUUUUUAAAUAAUAAGGAAACCUUUCCAUGCUUUCAGGGAAGAAUUUUUAACCUAUUAUGACUUAUUUUAUUUCUUGGAACAGAAGCUAAAAAAUGUGCUUCUUCCGUUUUAAAAAGACCUCAUAUACAAGUAUAAUAUGCAUUAAGGCAAAUUCAAAAUUAAAUUUUAAACCUUUAAUCUAAAAACAAUAAGGUGUACUGUUCAUUACACACAAUACCAUUCUAUUAGGAAAUCUCAGUUGAAGUACUAAGCAUGGUUUGUGAUUUAGAACAGGGUUGAAUAAGAGCUGGAAUGGCUGAUAGUUUAAUUUUUUAAAAAGAAUGCUUUAAUCAUGAAGAGUAGAACUAUCUGAAAUUUAUCAAAAGGCUUCAGGAAUAUUAUUCUGCCAAGCACAGAGAUUAUUUCUUAGUGGGUGGUGAUUGUUUAGAUAGUAAAUGAAUAAAUGUUGAAAUGUAUGAGAUACAUACAUCAUUGACUUGCUCAUUAAUUCUUUCAUUCACUUAACACUUAUUUACUGAAUGUCAACCACAUGGUAGGCAUAGUUCUGGAGGCUGGCAUACAGCAGUGAAGAAAGAAGAAUGUGGUAUGGGUAAGCAGAUGUUCCUACUGAAGUUUAAAGUUCAUGUUCAACCCAAGCCAACUGAUGCAAAAUAUAUCUUCUAGAACACAAAACGUUUUGAAAAUCUAACCUGUUUUCCAGGGAAUAACUCUUAAGUGGAAUCAACAAAAAGCCAAAGUACUGAAUUUGGUUGAAAAGUUGGGCAAUCCAAUGAUAUUAUAUCACAUACAUUAUAUUAUAGUAACUUGAAAGAAUUUUUCUGUUUCUCUGUUUUGCUUUUAAUAGACAUGAUGAACCUUAAGAUCAGCCACACCUACAUACCUUGUUUGUGACUUUCUAAGCUUCCAAAUCUGGAAUGCUAAAAAUUGCACCAGCUCUGUUUACCAACUCUUUAUGAUGAUACUCCAUUUGGUUCAAAUAAAUCUUGACUCCACUAUGCUUAACAGGAUUUUUCUUUCUUUCUUUUUUAAAAGGAU